UACGUAGGUGGCAAGCGUUGUCCGGAUUUAUUGGGCGUAAAGCGCGCGCAGGCGGUCCUUUAAGUCUGAUGUGAAAUCUUGCGGCUCAACCGCAAGCGGUCAUUGGAAACUGGGGGACUUGAGUGCAGAAGAGGAAAGCGGAAUUCCACGUGUAGCGGUGAAAUGCGUAGAGAUGUGGAGGAACACCAGUGGCGAAGGCGGCUUUCUGGUCUGUAACUGACGCUGAGGCGCGAAAAGCGUGGGGGAGCAAAACAGGAUUAGAUACCCCCUGUAGUCC
rnacentral:rRNA from 1 species